UACGUAGGUGGCAAGCGUUGUCCGGAUUUACUGGGCGUAAAGGGCGUGCAGGCGGUCUGUUAAGUCUAGGGUGAAAGCUCCCGGCUCAACUGGGAGAGGUCCUUGGAUACUGGCGGACUUGAGGGAUGCAGAGGAAAGUGGAAUUCCCGGUGUAGUGGUGAUAUGCGUAGAGAUGUGGAGGAACACCGAUGGCGAAGGCAGCCCCCUGGGCUGAGAUUGACGCUCAGGCACGAAAGCGUGGGGAGCAAACAGG
rnacentral:rRNA from 1 species